CCACCAUCUUGAGGGGAAGAUGGAGGAGUACAUAAGAUGGUGAAAGGACAGCUGAGGCAAGGUGAAUAUACCUGGACAGUAGAAAAGGUCUUCUAACACAGGAGCCACUAGAAACAGUGGGGAGCAGGAUGCAGACACUGAGCUGAAUGACUCGAGCUCAGAUUUGCCUGAAUGAGCAUUUGAGGUUCCAAUUAAAUCCUUGUUUCGGCCAUUGCAUUGCCUGCCAGUAGUUAAUCUUUCUCGAAAGCCUCAUCACUUAUCUAAAACAAAAGAAGAACGAGGAGAAGCAGCUCCAUGUUCUGCAUACCAGAACUCUCUUGUUGGCUCCAUGUAGCAGCAGAAGGAGGAGAAUCUGGUCCUGAUUCCCUGUGAG
rnacentral:lncRNA from 1 species